rnacentral:rRNA from 1 species
UACGUAGGGACCGAGCGUUGUCCGGAUUCAUUGGGCGUAAAGAGCUCGUAGGCGGCUGCUCAAGUCGAAUGUGAAAACUCGAGGCUCAACCUCGAGCCUGCAUUCGAUACUGGGCGGCUAGAGUCUGGUAGGGGGAUCUGGAAUUCCUGGUGUAGCGGUGAAAUGCGCAGAUAUCAGGAGGAACACCAGUGGCGAAGGCGGUGCUCUGGGCCGGAACUGACGCUGAGGAGCGAAAGCGUGGGGAGCAAACAGG